rnacentral:rRNA from 1 species
AGAACGAACGCUGGCGGCAGGCCUCAAACAUGCAAGUCUAGGGGGUGUAGCAAUACAUCACCGGCGGACGGGUGCGUAACACGUGGGAAUAUACCUUUCGGUACGGAACAACUGCGGGAAACUGCAGCUAAUACCGUAUACGUCCUAGCGGAGAAAGAUUUAUCGCCGAAGGAUUAGCCCGCGUUCGAUUAGCUAGUUGGUGGGGUAAUGGCCCACCAAGGCGACGAUCGAUAGCUGUUCUGAGAGGAAGAUCAGCCACACUGGGACUGAGACACGGCCCAGACUCCUACGGGAGGCAGCAGUUGGGAAUCUUGGACAAUGGGGGAAACCCUGAUCCAGCCAUGCCGCGUGAGUGAUGAAGGCCUUCGGGUUGUAAAACUCUUUCGACGGGGACGAUAAUGACGGUACCCGUAGAAGAAGCUCCGGCUAACUUCGUGCCAGCAGCCGC